GCCUGUGCAAGACAUGGCAAACUUUGUUUACCACAGAUUUCCUCUUCUCAGCUUCCUGUGAAUUGCCUCUCCUCCUUUUGAAGCUCCAGACCCCUAUCCCUUUCCUUAGCUCAGGAAAGUGUAUAAGCCUCAAUAGCCUGGCUGCCUUUUGAGUCACAUAUCU